rnacentral:rRNA from 1 species
AACGCGAAGAACCUUACCAAGGCUUGACAUCUGAGGAACGCUACGGAAACGUGGUGGUGCCCGCAAGGGAACCUCAAGACAGGUGGUGCAUGGCUGUCGUCAGCUCGUGUCGUGAGGUGUUGGGUUAAGUCCCGCAACGAGCGCAACCCUCGUUGUUAGUUGCCAUCAGGUAAAGCUGGGCACUCUAGCGAGACUGCCGGUGACAAACCGGAGGAAGGUGGGGACGACGUCAAGUCAUCAUGCCCUUUAUGCCUUGGGCUACACACGUGUUACAAUGGCUAGGACAAUGUGAUGCAAGACCGCGAGGUGGAGCGAAUCACCAAACCUAGUCUCAGUUCGGAUCGCAGGCUGCAACUCGCCUGCGUGAAGUCGGAAUCGCUAGUAACAGCCGAUCAGCACGCGGCUGUGAAUACGUUCCCGGGCCUUGUA